GAUGAACGCUGGCGGCGUGCCUAAUACAUGCAAGUCGAGCGAACGGAAGAGAAGCUUGCUUCUCUGAUGUUAGCGGCGGACGGGUGAGUAACACGUGGAUAACCUACCUAUAAGACUGGGAUAACUUCGGGAAACCGGAGCUAAUACCGGAUAAUAUUUUGAACCGCAUGGUUCAAAAGUGAAAGACGGUCUUGCUGUCACUUAUAGAUGGAUCCGCGCUGCAUUAGCUAGUUGGUAAGGUAACGGCUUACCAAGGCAACGAUGCAUAGCCGACCUGAGAGGGUGAUCGGCCACACGGGAACUGAGCCACGGUCCAUGCGCCUACGGGAGGCAGCAGUAGCGAAUCGUCCGCAAUAGGCGAAAGCCUGACGGAGCAACGCCGCGUGAGUGAUGAAGGUCUUCGGAUCGUAAAGCUCUGUUAUUAGGGAAGAACAUAUGUGUAAGUAACUGUGCACAUCUUGACGGUACCUAAUCAGAAAGCCACGGCUAACUACGUG
rnacentral:rRNA from 1 species